GAUGAACGCUAGCUACAGGCUUAACACAUGCAAGUCGAGGGGAAACGACAUCGAAUGCUUGCUUUUGAUGGGCGCGGACGGGCGCGCGGGUGAGUAACGAGUAUCCAACCUGCCCACGACUUGGGGAGAACCCUGCGACAGUAAGACUAAUACACAAUGACGUCCCUAGAAGACAUCUGAAAGAGACUAAAGAUUUAUCGGUGAUGGAUGGGGAUGCGUCUGAUUAGCUUGUUGGCGGGGUAACGGCCCACGAAGGCGACGAUCAGUAGGGGUUCUGAGAGGAGGGUCCCUGAGAUUGGAACUGGGACACGGUCCAAACGCCUACGGGCGGCAGCAGUGAGGAAUAUAGGUCCAUGGACGAGAGUCUGAACCGGCCAAGUAGCGUGCAGGAUGACCGCCUUAUGGAUUGUAGACUGCUUUUAUAAGGGAGUAUAGUGAGUCUCGGGAGACUUUUUGCAUGUACCUUAUGAAUAAGGACCGGCUAAUUACGUG
rnacentral:rRNA from 1 species